GACGAACGCUGGCGGCGCGCCUAACACAUGCAAGUCGAACGGAGCUGCGAGAAGCUUGCUUUUCUUAGCUUAGUGGCGAACGGGUGAGUAACGCGUGAGUAACCUGCCCUGGAGUGGGGGACAACAGUUGGAAACGACUGCUAAUACCGCAUAAGCCCACGAUCCGGCAUCGGAUUGAGGGAAAAGGAUUUAUUCGCUUCAGGAUGGACUCGCGUCCAAUUAGCUAGUUGGUGAGGUAACGGCCCACCAAGGCGACGAUUGGUAGCCGGACUGAGAGGUUGAACGGCCACAUUGGGACUGAGACACGGCCCAGACUCCUACGGGAGGCAGCAGUGGGGGAUAUUGCACAAUGGGGGAAACCCUGAUGCAGCGACGCCGCGUGGAGGAAGAAGGUUUUCGGAUUGUAAACUCCCGUCGUUAGGGACGAUAAUGACGGUACCUAACAAGAAAGCACCGGCUAACUACGUG
rnacentral:rRNA from 1 species